GAAACAGUUGCUAAGACUGGAUAGGAAAUAAAAAGGCAUCUUUUUAUUUUUAAAAGACCUUUUUCGGAAGGUAUGCUUAAAGAGGGGCUUGCGUCACAUUAGUUAGUUGGCAGGGUAAAGGCCUACCAAGACUAUGAUGUGUUUCUGGACUGAGAGGUUGAACAGCCACAUUGGGACUGAGACACGGCCCAAACACCUACGGGAGGCACCAGUAGGGAAUUUUCGGCAAUGGAGGAAACUCUGACCGAGCAACGCCGCGUGAACGAUGAAGUAUUUCGGUAUGUAAAGUUAUUUUAUUGAAGAAGAAAAAAUAGUGGAAAAACUAUCUUGACGAUAUUCAAUGAAUAAGCCCCGGCAAACUAUGUGCCAGCAGCCGCGGUAAUACAUAGGGGGCGAGCGUUAUCCGGAAUUAUUGGGCGUAAAGGGUGCGUAGGCCGUUUAAUAAGUCUAUAGUUUAAUUUCAGUGCUUAACACUGUCCUGCUAUAGAAACUAUUAGACUAGAGUAAGAUAGAGGCAAGUGGAAUUCCAUGUGUAGCGGUAAAAUGCGUAAAUAUAUGGAGGAACACCAGAGGCGUAGGCGGCAUGCUGGGUCUUUACUGACGCUGAGGCACGAAAGCGUGGGGAGCAAACAGGAUUAGAUACCCUGGUAGUCCACGCCGUAAACGAUGAGUACUAAGUGUCGGGAUUACUCGGUACUGAAGUUAACACAUUAAGUACUCCGCCUGAGUAGUACGUACGCAAGUAUGAAACUUAAAGGAAUUGACGGGACUCCGCACAAGCGGUGGAUCAUGUUGUUUAAUUCGAAGAUACACGAAAAACCUUACCAGGUCUUGACAUACUCUGCAAAGCUAUAGGAAUAUAGUGGAGGUUAUCAGAGAUACAGGUGGUGCAUGGUUGUCGUCAGCUCGUGUCGUGAGAUGUUAGGUUAAGUCCUAAAACGAGCGCAACCCUUGUCAUUAGUUGCCAGCAUGUCAUGAUGGGCACUUUAAUGAGACUGCCAAUGAAAAAUUGGAGGAAGGUGAGGAUCACGUCAAAUCAUCAUGCCCCUUAUGAUCUGGGCUACAAACGUGAUACAAUGGCUGUUACAAAGAGUAGCUGAAACGCAAGUUUAUAGCCAAUCUCAAAAAAGCAGUCUGAGUUCGGAUUGAAGUCUGCAACUCGACUUCAUGAAGUUGGAAUCGCUAGUAAUCGCGAAUCAGCAUGUCGCGGUGAAUACGUUCUCGGGGUUUGUACACACCGUGCGUC
rnacentral:rRNA from 1 species